AAGUCAAGGGGGAAGGGUUGUGAGAGAAUUGGGAAAUUCUUCCCUUUCUUAGAAUCAAAGAACUCCUGGCCUUCAUUACUCUCUUAGUGCAACUUGAGAGCUUAAAAAAAAACCUUCCAAGUUUUUCUAUUAUUUUCACAUUACAAGGAAAUCCUAAAGCCCAUCUUUAACUCUCAUAAAUUGUCCUCAUCAUUUACAUUUUCCAAGCAACCUGAGAGUCCUUCAUCGUGAUUUUCAAAAGGUUAUCUCAUGAGUGAUUAAGUUUAAAGGUGAGAAACAAUGGGAAAACCCUUGGCUCUAGGAAACCCAAGGCUACCAACUCAUUUUUAAAGGGAUUAAGGCUUCCCAAAUUAAAGUUAAAGGCUGCAAAUCAAAUGUUUGGGUAAGGAAAUCUUCAUUUAAGCUUUAAAAUAAAUUAAAAAUUAUUUUAAGUUCAAAGAAUUAAUACCAUGUGAAUUUAUUGUGACUGAUUUGGUACUACGAGAUUGGAAAAGUAUUAAGGUUGUGCAUUAUUGAAGUUAGACCACCAACAAGGUAAGGUGGAAUGAAGUUGGAUGUUGGUACUUAUUUAUCAAAGUAUGAUUUACUAGAGAAGUAUGUGCCUAGGAAGGGUGAGCUUGUGAUAUUGACUUAGUAUGAAUUAUUACAAAGGGAUUUGAAAGAGAAGGACUCACAGGAAAUUUGUCAAACUUGUGGCCUAGUGCUAAGAAAUUUAUUGUUAAGAGUACAAAGGUGAGGAUAAGUUGGUUGCAAUUUGAAAUUUAAUGCAAAUGUGCUUGCUAGAAAAAUGUAUAGAUAAUGUUAUAAUUGAAAUUAUACUAAGAGAUUGUGUGAUAUUGAUCGCUAAGUGUGAUUGUGCUAAAACUUAAAUUGCUAGGAAAAAAAUGAAGAAGAUUCAGGUGAUGGUGAUUUUCACCUGCUGAAAAUUUCCUAGUCAACACAUUUCAUUAGCGUGAGUAGAAAUAUUGGUGAGAAUUCCCACCAAAGGAGGGGCGUGAGCAAUACCUUUUAAAAUAUACUAUGGAUAUUGCUACUAUAAGUGCAUAACUACAAAUAUGCUUACUGUUUUUUAUUGACAUUAGAAUGCUACGAAUUAUAUUUUAUCUAUUGAAGUGCCAUUGGGAAGCAUGAGUUGCUAGACAAUUAGGCCUAUUUUUUGUUACCUUACUCUGUUCAUCAAUUUGCAAGAAUAACUAUACUAUGAGUUGUUUUAUAACUACGAGAAACAAGUCCUUGAAAAUAUUAAAUUUCCAUUCUGUUUUGAAAGUCUUAAAAACCAUUUGAAUCUAUACAAUACUUGCAUUCAAUAGGCCAUAAGGGUGUCCAUUUAUAAAUAUUUUAAAUUUGCUUAUUUGGUAAUAUUAUGAUGUUUGGAUGAAAUAUAAAAUUAUGCCAUGCUCGUUGAUUUUGUUGUUGUACUUGGUAUGUACUGCUUAUUGAUUUCAAAACUUGAAAUAUGUAACACAUUGUUUAUAUGAGCAUGUGAUUGAAACUUGAUACAUGUACUUGGAUUUUCAAUAAAUUAUUUAUGGGUAAGCCUUAUGGGUAUAGGUCUUGUUACCACACCAGAUUGUGUGGUCUUUGUGCACAAAGUACUUGCUAAACAUCGAUUUGUUAUUGGAGAACUAAGGGGGAUGGAAGCCUUGACUUUAUACUUGGUGGUGUAGGGAGUCCCAUGAGCAGGCACUAGGAGGAUAGAAGCCCCAACUUUAUACUUGGUGGCAUGGGAGUCGCACGAGUAAGUAUUAAUAGGUGUUAGGGGCUCAAUUUUAUACUUCGUGGCGUGAGGGAGUCCUACAAGUAGGCAUUAUGAGGAUAGAAGCCCUAACUUUAUAUUUGGUGGUGUGGGGGUUCCCACUAGUAGGCAUUGAUUUACGGUAUAUGCUUGGAGACUCACACUAUUUCUUAAACCUACCCAAAGUACCUUAAUCAAUUUGUUUCUUUUAUUAUUUUAUUUCUUAUUGAGUAUAACAUUAUUACUAUAUGUGACUUGAUUAAAACCAUGGC
rnacentral:lncRNA from 1 species